AUUGAACGCUGGCGGCAGGCCUAACACAUGCAAGUCGAGCGGAUGAAGGGAGCUUGUUCCUGGAUUCAGCGGCGGACGGGUGAGUAAUGCCCAGGAAUCUGCCCGGUCGUGGGGGAUAACGUACGGAAACGGGAGCUAAUAUCGCAUACGUUCUGAGGGAGAAAGAGGGGGAUCUUCGGACAACAAGCUAACAGAUGCGCCUAGGUCGGAUUAGCUAGUUGGUGGGGUAAAGGCCUACCAAGGCGAUGAUCCUUAACUGGUCUGAGAGGAUGAUCAGUCACACUGGAACUGAGACACGGUCCAGACUCCUACGGGAGGCAGCAGUGGGGAAUAUUGGACAAUGGGCGAAAGCCUGAUCCAGCCAUGCCGCGUGUGUGAAGAAGGUCUUCGGAUUGUAAAGCACUUUAAGUUGGGAGGAAGUGCAGUAAGUUAAUACCUUGCUGUUUUGACGUUACCAACAGAAUAAGCACCGGCUAACUUCGUG
rnacentral:rRNA from 1 species